rnacentral:rRNA from 1 species
CCCUUAGAUGUUCUGGGCUGCACGCGCGCUACACUGAAGCGUUCAACGAGUAUUCACCUUGCCCGGGAGGGUUGGGUAAUCUUUUGAAAACGCUUCGUGAUGGGGAUAGAUUAUUGCAAUUAUUAAUCUUCAACGAGGAAUUCCUAGUAAGCGCGAGUCAUCAGCUCGUGCUGAUUACGUCCCUGCCCUUUGUACACACCGCCCGUCGCGCCUACCGAUUGAGUGAUCCGGUGAAUAAUUCGGACUGCAGCACUGCUUGGUCUCCAGGCUUUGCAGCGGAAAGUUUAGUGAACCUUAUCACUUAGAGGAAGGAGAAGUCGUAACA